CCUACGGGAGGCAGCAGUAGGGAAUAUUGCUCAAUGGGGGAAAGCCUGAAGCAGCAACGCCGCGUGGAGGAUGACGGUUUUCGGAUUGUAAACUCCUUUUGUUAAAGACGAUAAUGACGGUAUCUAACGAAUAAGCACCGUCUAACUCCGUGCCAGCAGCCGCGGUAAUACGGAGGGUGCAAGCGUUACUCGGAAUCACUGGGCGUAAAGAGCGCGUAGGCGGGAUAGCAAGUCAGAUGUGAAAUCCUAUGGCUUAACCAUAGAACUGCAUUUGAAACUGUUAUUCUAGAGUAUGGGAGAGGUAGGUGGAAUUCUUGGUGUAGGGGUAAAAUCCGUAGAGAUCAAGAAGAAUACUCAUUGCGAAGGCGACUUGCUAGAACAUAACUGACGCUGAUGCGCGAAAGUGUGGGGAGCAAACAGGAUUAGAUACCCUUGUAGUC
rnacentral:rRNA from 1 species